rnacentral:rRNA from 1 species
UGAGGAAUAUUGGUCAAUGGACGCAAGUCUGAACCAGCCAAGUAGCGUGCAGGAUGACGGCCCUAUGGGUUGUAAACUGCUUUUAUAAGGGAAUAAAGUUAGUCUCGUGAGACUUUUUGCAUGUACCUUAUGAAUAAGGACCGGCUAAUUCCGUGCCAGCAGCCGCGGUAAUACGGAAGGUCCGGGCGUUAUCCGGAUUUAUUGGGUUUAAAGGGAGCGUAGGCCGGAGAUUAAGCGUGUUGUGAAAUGUAGACGCUCAACGUCUGCACUGCAGCGCGAACUGGUUUCCUUGAGUACGCACAAAGUGGGCGGAAUUCGUGGUGUAGCGGUGAAAUGCUUAGAUAUCACGAAGAACUCCGAUUGCGAAGGCAGCUCACUGGAGCGCAACUGACGCUGAAGCUCGAAAGUGCGGGUAUCGAACAGGAUUAGAUACCCUGGUAGUCCGCACGGUAAACGAUGGAUGCCCGCUGUUGGUCUGAACAGGUCAGCGGCCAAGCGAAAGCAUUAAGCAUCCCACCUGGGGAGUACGCCGGCAACGGUGAAACUCAAAGGAAUUGACGGGGGCCCGCACAAGCGGAGGAACAUGUGGUUUAAUUCGAUGAUACGCGAGGAACCUUACCCGGGCUUGAAUUGCAGAGGAAGGAUUUGGAGACAAUGACGCCCUUCGGGGCCUCUGUGAAGGUGCUGCAUGGUUGUCGUCAGCUCGUGCCGUGAGGUGUCGGCUUAAGUGCCAUAACGAGCGCAACCCCUCUCCUUAGUUGCCAUCAGGUUAAGCUGGGCACUCUGGGGACACUGCCACCGUAAGGUGUGAGGAAGGUGGGGAUGACGUCAAAUCAGCACGGCCCUUACGUCCGGGGCUACACACGUGUUACAAUGGCAGGUACAGAGAGACGGUCCCUUGCAAAAUGGAUCAAAUCCUUAAAGCCUGUCUCAGUUCGGACUGGGGUCUGCAACCCGACCCCACGAAGCUGGAUUCGCUAGUAAUCGCGCAUCAGCCAUGGCGCGGUGAAUACGUUCCC